CCUACGGGAGGCAGCAGUCGAGAAUCAUUCACAAUGGGGGAAACCCUGAUGCUGCGACGCCGCGUGAGGGAAGACGGCCUUCGGAUUGUAAACCUCUUUCAGCAGGGAAGACAAGAGGACGGUACCUGCAGAAGAAGCCACGGCUAACUACGUGCCAGCAGCCGCGGUAAUACGUAGGUGGCAAGCGUUAUCCGGAAUUACUGGGUGUAAAGGGUGUGUAGGCGGGUUGGCAAGUCAGAUGUGAAAAUUAUGGGCUCAACCCAUAACCUGCGUUUGAAACUAGAGAUCUUGAGAGUGGGAGAGGUAAGCGGAAUUCCUGGUGUAGCGGUGAAAUGCGUAGAUAUCAGGAGGAACACCAGUGGCGAAGGCGGUUUACUGGACCACAACUGACGCUGAGACACGAAAGCGUGGGGAGCAAACAGGAUUAGAUACCCUUGUAGUC
rnacentral:rRNA from 1 species